ncrna:unclassified sequences DTF3800-I RNA
UACGGGUACAGAUAGAAGUAUACUGUUUACAUUUACAAAUCGAUGUUCUAUUAAGCGUACUGUAAGUACGCCGAUGUAAAUGGAUAGCUGUCCAAUGGACAGCUAUUUUUUUAUUUA